rnacentral:rRNA from 1 species
UACGGAGGGUGCAAGCGUUAUCCGGAUUCACUGGGUUUAAAGGGUGCGUAGGUGGGCAGGUAAGUCAGUGGUGAAAUCUCCGGGCUUAACCCGGAAACUGACCAUUGGAUACUAUCAGUCUUGAAUACCGUGGAGGUAAGCGGAAUAUGUCAUGUAGCGGUGGAAAUGCUUAGAUAUGACAAUAGAACACCAAUUGCGAAGGCAG